GGCAUUUUAUAUCAGAAUGAAGUCUGAGCUGAAUGUGAAUUUGCUUAGGAUUGUGGAUGACCUGAGACCACCAGCACAAACUCCCCAGGGUUGAAGGUCACGUUCACCCUUCACAGCAUCUCCACGUAUACUCAUGAUCGACUCACCUGUAGAGGAUCACACAUGACCAGCAUCAUCUGGAUAUAUCUGGAGAGAGAGAAAGAGAGAUAGUCAAGGUCAAAAUGAACGUCUCCCCCACACCGAGAGAGAGAGAGAGAGAGAGAGAGAGAGAGAGCGCAAGCUGACAGCUGCAGUGAAGCAGACACACACAUGUACACACUCUUCAUCAUUUCAAUUUAUGCUUGUUGGAGACAAAAUGUUUUAAACUCACAUUCUUUUUUUGCCAGGCCUGAGUGUUGACACAUCAACAUGUGUGGUAUCUUAACACAACUAACGCAGGGAUAUCUAUCAGGCCAAGACAUCUCUAUCCUCAUCCCUGACUCAAACUGCAACAAUAUGCCACGUGUUUGUCUGUGGUCUCCAUGCUGUAUGUGUUUGUGAAUACUUCAAAGUUCUCAGUAAAACCAUCACAGUGUAAAUGGAACGGAUCAGUAGAGAGGCUGUUGUGUAUCCUGUUAAAUGGCAUAAACCUGUCUGGCUGGCACAAGCUGAACGCUGACCCCUUAUUCUUGCACGACCACACACCUCGACCUCCGGUGACCAGAUGUACAUGUGCUGGACAGAGCAUGUGGUUUGUAAAUUUAUUCCUCAAGGUGGCGGUUGAGUAAUGGUUAAAGAUCUAAGAUGCUAGAAGUUUAUCCCAAUAGGAUCUGACCCAGGAGCAAACGGCCUUGAGUGAAUCUCUGAACCUCAGCCAGCUGAGCCCAACACAUCUACAUCAACCGUCUACAGACCCUGACCCAAAACCACUUCAAAUGUGGCACCUUUUAUUACAAAUCAUUACAUCAAGCGAAUCCAGUUUAAUGACGCCAGCCUUGAAAGCGAGCGCUUCCGGAGAGGCCAUGGAAAAAUGAAACGCUCUCGUCUCACUUCCACAGUUCUCUGCUUGCUCUGCACAAAUAUAGGAGAAUGUUAAUGCCCCCAUUUGAAGUUUUCUGUCUCUAAACUGCAGUUUCCUGUCGGAGAAGGACACAGCUGCUUCUCUAUCCAAACAGAAAAGCCUCUCCCAUUUAACGAAGAAUGUGAUGUGUCUAUGGAAAGAAGGUUGUUUGUCAAGGGAUGUCAAGGGAGAGGAGGAAAAAGAGAAGCCAGAUAAGAGCCAUUCAUAAUCCACCUGACAUUCAGAGAUCAUUUCCCUGCUAUGUUCCCAACGCCCGUCACCUCCAACAUCCACUUUCCUAUUGUGCAAUGAUGUGUCUCCACUAGAGGGCGCCACCGGGAUCUCUGCCAUCACUCGUGCCACGAACAGAUGUCCUGUUGUCUCCUGAUUCCUUCUGAGGUUCAGACUGUUGAUCAUCUGACCUGAUGGGGGCGCUAGACAAAGUGACAGAUUCAGGUGUUCCUGUGGGAACAGCAGCUGUUCUUCUCAUCGUCUCACCUGCAGACGUCUCUGAUCUUCCCGCUGCAGGAGGAGAGUGAAUGUGGUUUGGCUGUACCAGUGUGUACCCAAGGAUGGGGACGAGAUGUUCAGUGAAUACAGCAGAUCUUCUGAUGAUUUGAGAAAG